UGCGUAGGCGGGUUUGUAAGUCAGUGGUGAAAGCCCGGAGCUCAACUCCGGAACUGCCAUUGAUACUGCAAGUCUUGAAUAUAGUUGAGGUAGGCGGAAUAUAGCAUGUAGCGGUGAAAUGCUUAGAUAUGCUAUAGAACACCGAUUGCGAAGGCAGCUUACUAAACUAUUAUUGACGCUGAGGCACGAAAGCGUGGGGAGCGAACAGGAUUAGAUACCCUGGUAGUCC
rnacentral:rRNA from 1 species